GUGCCAGCCGCCGCGGUAAUACGUAGGGGGCAAGCGUUAUCCGGAUUCAUUGGGCGUAAAGAGCGCGUAGGCGGAUUGUUAAGCGCGAUGUGAAAACUGGGGGCUCAACCCGCAGCCUGCAUCGCGAACUGGCAGUCUUGAGUCUGGUAGAGGAGUGUGGAAUUCCCAGUGUAGCGGUGAAAUGCGCAGAUAUUGGGAGGAACACCAGUGGCGAAGGCGGCACUCUGGGCCACGACUGACGCUGAGGCGCGAAAGCUAGGGGAGCGAACAGGAUUAGAAACCCCUGUAGUCC
rnacentral:rRNA from 1 species